UUAUAUUUUUAUGCAUAUUUCUAGAAUGUACAGUAAAUUCAGUGUUGUAAGUCAGUAAAAUCAGGCUCUUGAAAACAUUAUGUUAUAAACGUUUGGGCUUUGCAAACGGUAUUCUGGCAAAUAUAUGUGUUUGUAACAGAACGUAGUGGUAGUAUAAUAUAAAACGUAGAUAUGGUAAAUCGAUAUUUAAUCGAUAUUUAAUUAAUAUAAAUCGAUAAUCUAAAAAAUUAAGUGUACUAAAUUUCACAAUUUUCCAUAACACGUGGAACCCAAUAAAUAGAGUUUCGUGCAUCUAAUAACAUUGAUCCAAGAACGAUUCAUUUGGUCGGUUCGCGGCUGUGUAAACAAAAGCAUCGGAACCGCUCGAUGGGAAAAGUAUUUAACCGCUAAAAGACGGGCAAAUUUAGUUGAGGUUUUUUCUGCGUUUUGCCAUCGCCGGUGAUUUGUCAGCGAGCGAUUUUCAGCGCGCGCGUAGGCCAGUCCAAAUAUCCUUGUUUACGCACGCUCGACGCGAUAAUGCUUGUAAAUAAUGGUGAAAGUUUGUUGAUUUGCCAUUUGUCGAUCGACGCUCGCCGCGUGAAUAACUUUGCUUGUCGUUCGUCGACCAACACAAUUUCGAGGAGUGAGAAUCAAGUCGCUGGAAUUGUCCGCGUAAACGUGAAACAAUUCCAUCGGCAGUGCGCGGAAUUAUACAGCGACUAGUGGGUUCGACACACGACGCGUAAUUACACGGAAUUAUCGAUACCGUCGAAAUGUGAAACUAUGAAACCAUAAGUCCGAAUUAUAAUUCAUCUGUUUCUUACCGAUCACUUGAUUCAUUAUAAAAUAUUCUAUAUUCUUGUAUCCUUUAGUUUAAGUUUAAUCGUGACAGAAAUAUUAAGGCCAAGAAACCACAAGGAAAAAUAAUUUAUAUAAUUGUUCUAAUAAGUUGUAUUUGAAGAAAAUAAGCGUGCUCGAUAAAUGAUUGUGAUUUAUAUUCUUUUUCGAUCCCACGACCAGGCAAAUCGAAGUUCAACUUUAGGAUCAUCCAAGGAACGGAUCACUCCACCGCAGAACUCAUUUGGCAUGUGAUCCUCGCGCGGCGUAGCCGCGCUGACAAACAGAAAAUUACAUCGAAUCUCUAAAGAAUUCAAAUCCACUCGCGUCGCUCCAGAAACUGCAGGGUCUCAAAGAUCCACGUGAGCGUUGAAACUCAAGUUUCCGGGACGGAGGUUCACAAAACGGCAAAAGACAUGCGGAACGAUAACGUGCACGAGCUGCAAAAGGAGAGCGUUGUAGGGCGAAGAGUAUUCCGAAGAAGCGAGCGAGUGAGAGAUUCGACAACAUGAAAAACUGCAGGAGGAGAAAGUGAGAGUAGAGAGACGGAGAGAUGGAGAAAUGUGGAGAUAAAGAGAUAGAGAGGUAGAGAGAUAGAUAUAAAGAUAGAGAUAGAGACAGAAAGAGAGAGGGUACAGAGAGGCGAGUAAGAUGGUAGUACGGGAAGAAGCUACAUAGCCGAAUCAAGGAUGUAGACAGGAAGGAUGUUCGUCGAGUGCCAUCAACUUAACUUGUACCAUGGCACAGCGAGCACGAGCCCAUCCUCUUCGGGCUGAAGAGAGCCAAGCCGGCAUAAUAAGCUUUGUGCGCUGACUGUCGACGGGAUCCCUCUCACGGAAGGCUGAAGAGCCAGCAGCAGCAGCAGCAGCAGCAGAAGCAGCAGCAUCGGCAGCAGUAGCGACAACGCGGAGGAGCAGCGUAACAGAGAAGCCUUUGCCUCGCGAGGCUGACUAUACGCGAGCACCCAAAGAAUCGAGCAUCUCCUCGUGAAACCAGUCCACCCUUGGAACGGACGCUCCCUGUUCGACUCGACCGCCGUGCGCUGUCGAAAAAAUCUAGAAAAGCUAAUUACGCUCCCUCUUCUGCUGCCCCGGCGAUCUUACGUUUCCGCGCUUCCCUCGCCACGGCGACCGCCUCCCGCUCCCCAAGAUGACUGUGCUAACUGCCGACAUGGUUCUCCCUCGAUGAUCCCGGCUGAGGUCUUCCUCGACGACUCUUGCAAUUUGGACAGUCAUGGCGAACCUCACUCUCAAGAAACUGUCAAUUUUUAUGCGCAAGUAUUCCCCCCACGUACUGCAAAUAUCUCUGCAGUACUGCUUUCUUGUAACUCGAUCUGAUCAUUUUAGGGGAUACUUCGUUAAGUCACCAUUUUUGAAUAAUUUAAGUGGAGCAUCGGAAAGCAAUUAAAACUGUGGUGGCGUUUUUAACCCUUUGCGGGUGAAACAUCCUUCUAUUUCAGAAUUAAAUAAAAAUUGUCAAUAUUGA